CUUCAGACAGUGGUUGAGAGGAGAUCCAGCCGAGUUGCAGAACGCUGCCAGGCAUGUUGUGUCCCUUUACGCAGUGCUCUAACAAGUGAGUCAUGCUCACCGUCACGGAUGGAUGAAGGGCAGGUUCAGAGAGAGCAGGUCACAGCGGGCAGGAGGCAACACAGCUGCAGGGUCAGGAAACCCCUGGGAACAGGGUGCAGUCUGCAGGGAGACCGCAUCAGGAAAUUCAGUGGACCAGAGUAUGGCCAGCAUUCCCUGGUCUUUUCAAGGCACGAAAAGGCUUUAUCCCAGCUCCUAAAAAAAGGCCUGCCAGGUCAACGCCAAUCCAGUUUUUCCUGCUAAAUAAAAGUGUUGAAUGGACCCAAAAGCCUCUGAGUUGAUUCUUCUACAGGCUGGACUAGGACGGAGGACUGUUGCUGAUCACUCUGAGGUGGUCAGUGAAAGCUGAAUAUUGUUGCUCUGGAAGCUGAAGGAUACACAGGUUCCUGCCUCAUUGAAACGGUUGGAGGAAAGGGCUGUUUAUACAUAAUGCCCAUUCAGAACACACCGGACAUCUCCCCUUUACCUUACUCAUCCAAAGAGUUUGAAAAAAUGCCAACACACAGGAACACUCACACACAGAUGGGAAUCACACAAGGAGAACAGGAGACGCUGGAGACAGGUAAGUAGUUCGGUAGGAGUCCUUGAGGUAAGCAUUCAGGUAAGACGUAAUGCAAACGAGACCAGACAAUGUGGCUGUGUGUGUGUGUGAGUGCUCUUUAUGCUGGUGGUGAUUGCGGUGAUAAUGAGGUGCAGGUGCGGGUGAUCAGUACUCUGGAGAGUCAGUGCGUUGUGAUUGGUGAGCGGUGGAGCCUGGCGUGUCUGUGACAGUACCCCCCGACAGUACCCCCCGAUCAGAUCGCUCACUGAGGGCCGAGGACCCCGACAUCAUGGUGGCCGUCCUCUUCCACGUGGGGCAGGUCUGUCGGGCUGAUUAGAGUGGAAGGUGUGAAGCAGGUUGGGGUCCAGUAUGUUGUUUCUGGGGACCCAAGAACGUUCCUCAGGGCCAUAGCCUUCCCAGUCCACAAGAUAUUCUAGUAGACCACCACGGCGUCGGGAGUCCAAGAUCUCGCGAACCUCAUAUGCAGCUCCAUCUUCCAGGAUGAGUGGAAGGGGGGGUUCGUCAGCUGUUACGCCAGGCCCUGUGGAGAGAGGAACAGAAGGGUGGUGAGGUUUGAGGAGUGAGACGUGGAAUGUAUUCUAUAUUGUGGAUGUAGUUGGAGCUGGUACGUGACAGGGUUAAUCUGCUUGGUGAUGGUGAAUGGGCCAAUGAAUCUGGGACUCAAUUUUUUGCAGGGCAGACGCAGUCUGAUGUCCCGUGUUGACAGCCAGACCUUCUGUCCCGGUUGGUAGGAGGGAGCUUUGGAAUGACGAAGGUCGGCUGUCAUCCUGCGUCUGCGCAGGGCCCGCUGUAGUUGGUGGUGAGCAGAGUCCCAGACCCUCUCGCUCUCUCAGAACCAGUAAUCCACUGCUGGAACGUCCGAUGGUUCCCCGGUCCAGGGGAACAGAGGGGGUUGGAAACCGAGAACGCACUGAAAAGGGGUGAGUCCAGUAGAUGGCUGACGCAGGGAGAUUUGUGCGUACUCGGCCCAACCCAGAUACUGGCUCCAAGAGUUCUGGUGGCCGUGACAGAAGGUACGGAGGAAGCGGCCAAUCUCCUGGAUCUUCCUCUCCGUCUGCCCGUUCAAUUGGGGAUGGUAGCCGGAUGAGACUGACGGCCACACCUAGGAGCGAGAAGAAGGCCUUCCACACCCGUGAGGUGAAUUGGGGUCCUCUGUCAGGAGCAUGGAGUCGAGAGAGGGCAUCCGCUUUGGCAUUUUUGGAACCUGGUCGGUAGGAGAUAGAAAAAGUCAAAGCGGGUGAAGAAUAAAGCCCAGCGGGCUUGUCGUGGGUUCAAUCUCUUAGCAGCCUUGAGAUAUUCCAAGUUCUUGUGGUCGGUGAGAACCAGGAAGGGGUGUUUGGCUCCCUCCAACCAAUGCCUCCACUCUUCAAGAGCCAACUUCACGGCCAGCAGCUCGCGGUUUCCGAUGUCGUAAUUGGCCUCCGCCGGGUUGAGCUUGCGGGAGAAGGUGCAUGGGUGAAGUCUACUUGGAUUCCCCUGCUGCUGGGAGAGUACCGCCCCCACUCCGGUGGUGGAAGCGUCCACCUCUACGACGAAGGGCAGGUCUGGAUUAGGGUGGACGAGGAGGGGAGCGGUGGUGAAGGCUUCCUUUAGAGCUUUGAAGGCGUUGGUGGCAGCUGGAGUCCAGGACAGAGACUUGGGCCUAUUCCUGAGGAGGUUGGUGAGUGGAUGGGCGAUGGAGCUGUAAUCUUUGAUAAACCGACGAUAGAAGUUUGCAAAUCCGAGGAAACGUUGGAGUUCUUUUACUCACAUGCUUCUUAGUGAGAAGUUUUCCCGUUACAGAGUGGAUCUGGUAGAUAGUCGGAGAAGGCGUGGUCUUGAGCUUGAGUUGUCUGCAGAGGGCGCCGGAGAUGAAGUUGCCGGCUGACCCCGAGUCGAGGAGCGCCACCACUGGAAGAGAAACAUCAGCGGCAGUAAGGUUUACAGUAGUGGUGAGUGGCUUCAAUUUAUUCAUGGAGGGAAGGAUUGCACUCACCAUGGGACGCGCAGGACGGGUUGGGCAUGAGGAGAGUACAUGCCCAGGUAAACCACAGUACAAACAAAGAUUCCGGGUCAGCCGCCGUUGUCUCUCUGCAGACGAUAAGCGAGAGUUUUCCACUUGCAUAGGCUCGUUGGCUGGUUCUGGAGGGCUGACGGACUCUGGUCGACGGAGGAGUGUGUUGAACAGCGACUGGCCCUGGUGUUCUUCAAUACACGACUGCAUACGGGUGGCGAAGCGGAUGGAAAGCUGGAUGAAGCGCUCGAGGCCGAUGGAAUCCUCACGCGAGGAUCCAACCCUUGUCGAAAGGUGGUAAUCAACGCCUGUUCAUUCCAACCACUGGAGGCAGCUAGCGUUCUAAACUGCAAAGCAUACUCAUUCAUAGUCAUGGAGCCUUGUUUCAAGUUAUAUAAUUUCUCACCGAUCGAAGAGUCAGACGUGGGUUUUCCGAAGACCUCCCGGAAAUGAGUGACGAAACUGGAAUAGGAUUGAGUGACUGGACUGUUCUGGGACCAGAUGGAGUCGGCCCACUGCAGCGCUUUGCCUUGCAGGUGAGAAAUUAUAAACGCUACCUUGGAGGUAUCGGUGGGGUAGAGGUGCGGUUGCAUCUCCAGGACCAGUGCGCACUGCAGGAGGAAUCCGCUGCAGUCCUCCGCCGAGCCAGAGUAGGGCGCUGGUUUGGCCAUGGGACUGGCGUGAACCGGCGGUAAAGGAGUGGAGACGGUGUUUGCGGACGUGAUCGCUGGAGCGGGUGACGGUGAACUGGAGGUGAGUGCUCGGCGCAGGGCGUCCACGAGCUCUUGAAACGGGUCCGGGUGGCUCAUGCUGGUAUCUAGCUGUUAUGGUCCGGUCUUCUGUUACAAUACAGAAGGGACCGAGGCAGAUAUAACAGGUAGAGAUGUUUAUUGAUACCAGCACGAGACAAACAGUAGUGCAGGUGAAUAAUAAGUGAUGUAAUGGAUGAAGUAGAGAGUGCAGAGAAGUGAUACUGUCCUUGUUGAUUGUAGACACGGGUCGAUUCGGAAGACGCUGGAGAAACGUGACACUGGAGACCAGGAACACUCACACACAGAUGGGAAUCACACGAGGAGAACAGGAGACGCUGGAGACAGGUAAGUAGUUCGGUAGGAGUCCUUGAGGUAAGCAUUCAGGUAAGACGUAAUGCAAACGAGACCGGACAAUGUGGCUGUGUGUGUGAGUGCUCUUUAUGCUGGUGGUGAUUGCGGUGAUAAUGAGGUGCAGGUGCGGGUGAUCAGUACUCUGGAGAGUCAGUGCGUUGUGAUUGGUGAGCGGUGGAACCUGGCGUGUCUGUGACAACCACGACUGACAACUGUUUUUUACGUAAAAGGAUCCUGGAGACCCUACAGAUGAAGAAGUGGCCUCUACUUCCACAGAAAUGAAUCGGUGUAGUGGCAAUUUAGGGAAUGAGUUGGAUUCACCUUCAGCGGUUAUGGAUGCCAAGAAGACUUUAUUGAAGUACAUAGCUGACGAUAGACCAAACCAAGAUUUGGACAUAACGAGACAAAAGCAAGACAAGCAAAAGAGCCUUACAGACGCAAUCAACACACUUACAGAGGCAAUAGACCCUUCAACUGUUUUCAGCGUCUGUGUCACACGAGAGGACAUGUUCUCCCGAGGCCUAACACAGUGGAAGUGGCAGAAGAAGUCCUCUCCGAAGAAUCCCCUCAGAGUCACUUUCAUUGGAGAGUCUGGGAUAGACAGUGGUGAAUUCCUGACUGAAAUGAUGGCCGGAAUUGAGGAAAAAAUCUUUGAGGGAGGGAGCACUGGGAAAAAUCUUAAGUAUUCAGUUACGGACUUUCAGAAUGACAAUUUCAGAGACCGAUCACGCCUCAGGUCAAGUGAAGCGGCAGCAUGCAGCGCACUGAAAGAUCAUGUCUUCCUCUAUUUUUAAUACCAGUUACGGGCUGCAGCGCGAAAUAAACAUGAAUGAAUGCCAAAAGGAUAGUUGGUGAAAUAAUGGCAGUGAGCAUUACUCAGGAUGGCCCUCCACCCAACUCUUUCAUGGAGUGGAUAUACAAUUUAGUUUCUUCUGGGGAGAUUAAUAAAGAUCAGCUGACAAAGGCUGACAUAACAGAUGCAGACCUGCUAGAUCUAAUUGACAAGAUUGAGACCGCAGACACUACAGCCUUGCUUGACCUUUCUGAAAGAAUCGUAGCAUGUGGGUACACAGGACCCCUAACAUGUGAUCGAAAGGAAGACAUUGUCAGCAGAUGAGCAGAGGACUGGAACUCUGUGGCCUCCAUGAAACGGUGAAACGAAAUCAGCCGUUAUUUGUUCCUGGUCACUUUACAAAAAUUUUCUCAUGAUGGCCCUGACACCCAUUUAAAGUGAAGCGGCAGAGGGAAUCAAGAAUUGUGAACUACUUGCAGGACUUCAUUCAAAGCUUGAAGAUGAAGAAGAAGGGAGCAGCAGUAAGGAGAACAGGGUUGAAGAUGACAACGAACAGGAGGAUAAAACAAACUGCACUAAAAGAGAUGCAGAACAAGACAAGAUCACCGCCAGCAGGUCAUGCAGUGGAUUACUGGUCAGGGGCACGUCCACAUUACUUCUGCACAAAGAGAAACACUUAAAAUACAUGUUGAAUUUGAUCAUGACUGUCAGCUUCGAUAUGGUCAGCACAGUUUAUGCGUCUCUCUAGUAAAUGCAUGUUCCUGUGCUGUGACCUUUCCUACACACACCUAGAGACAAACACAGAGUUCACUGGCAUUAUGAGGCAGGCUGUGAACAAUAGCAGAGAAUUUGGUCGUUCAUGAAUUGAUUCUUACUAUAGUUUAAUCACUAUACUGUGUACCCUCUGUUACGUCGUUAAUAAUAUGUUAAAAGAACAGGGGUGCAGUAGCUUUUGGAUAUUUGACUGUAGUUUAUUUUAUUUUUUUAUUUUUAUCAUUGACAUGUAUUACAACAGAAGCAGACAAGAUUGCUGCCAAAUUGUUCUAAACUCUAUUCAGAUGUGAAAAAAUGUACAUCAAUGCACAGUAAGCUUCAAAGCAGAAUAAAUUCAUUAUGCUGUUCA